rnacentral:rRNA from 1 species
UACGGGGGGGGGCAAGCGUUGUUCGGAAUUACUGGGCGUAAAGGGCUCGUAGGCGGCCAACUAAGUCAGACGUGAAAUCCCUCAGCUUAACUGGGGAACUGCGUCUGAUACUGGAUGGCUUGGAUUCGGGAGAGGAAUGCGGAAUUCCAGGUGUAGCGGUGAAAUGCGUAGAUAUCUGGAGGAACACCGGUGGCGAAGGCGGCAUUCUGGACCGAUAUUGACGCUGAGGAGCGAAAGCCAGGGGAGCAAAGCGGG